GACGAACGCUGGCGGCGUGCUUAACACAUGCAAGUCGAGCGGUAAGGCCCUUUCGGGGGUACGACGAGCGGCGAACGGGUGAGUAACACGUGGGUGACCUGCCCUUAGCUCUGGGAUAAGCCUGGGAAACUGGGUCUAAUACCGGAUAUGACUCCAUGACGCAUGUUGUGGGGUGGAAAGCCUUGUGCGGCUAGGGGAUGGGCCUGCGGCCUAUCAGCUUGUUGGUGGGGUGAGGCCUACCAAGGCGACGACGGGUAGCCGGCCUGAGAGGGCGACCGGCCACACUGGGACUGAGACACGGCCCAGACUCCUACGGGAGGCAGCAGUGGGGAAUCUUGCGCAAUGGGCGAAAGCCUGACGCAGCGACGCCGCGUGGGGAUGACGGCCUGG
rnacentral:rRNA from 1 species